rnacentral:rRNA from 1 species
AUAGCGUAUAUUAAAGUUGUUGCAGUUAAAAAGCUCGUAGUUGAACCUUGGGUCUGGGUGACUGGUCCGCGUCACCGUGUGCACUGGAAACCCGGAUCUUUCCUUCUGGAGAGCCGCAUGCCCUUUACUGGCUGUGUUGGGGAACCAGGACUUUUACUUUGAAAAAAUUAGAGUGUUAAAAGCAGGCUUUUGCUCGAAUACAUUAGCAUGGAAUAAUAAAAUAGGACGUGCGGUUCUAUUUUGUUGGUUUCUAGAGCCGCCGUAAUGAUUAAUAUGGAUAGUCGGGGGCAUCCGUAUUCGAUUGUCAGAGGUGAAAUUCUUGGAUUUUU